AACGAACGCUGGCGGCAUGCCUAACACAUGCAAGUCGAACGAGAUCCUUCGGGGUCUAGUGGCGCACGGGUGCGUAACGCGUGGGAAUCUGCCCUUAGGUUCGGAAUAACAGUUAGAAAUGACUGCUAAUACCGGAUGAUGACGUUAAGUCCAAAGAUUUAUCGCCUGAGGAUGAGCCCGCGUAGGAUUAGCUAGUUGGUGUGGUAAAGGCGCACCAAGGCGACGAUCCUUAGCUGGUCUGAGAGGAUGAUCAGCCACACUGGGACUGAGACACGGCCCAGACUCCUACGGGAGGCAGCAGUGGGGAAUAUUGGACAAUGGGCGCAAGCCUGAUCCAGCAAUGCCGCGUGAGUGAUGAAGGCCUUAGGGUUGUAAAGCUCUUUUACCCGAGAUGAUAAUGACAGUAUCGGAAGAAUAAGCCCCGGCUAACUCCGUG
rnacentral:rRNA from 1 species